UGGUUUUGUUCCGUGUGGAGUCGUUGUUGGGUGGGAGGUAGAGGCAGAGGCAGCUGUGGUUUUUCUUGGUGGGAGGUUUUGUGCCAGGUGCAGUUCUGGAAGUGGAGCUUGAUGGCCCGGUGGAGCCGCUGAAUAAGCAGUUGCCGGAAGCUCAGCGGGGCUGCGGAGGCUUGAAGGAGUCUGUGAGGGUGAACCGCACGGGGCGGGCGGGUAGGGAGGGUAUGUUGGCCUCGUCUUGCAAAAGCGGCCUCAUUCACACCUUUUCUGUCGGAAAAGGUUUUGACUUCUGUGCUCGGGGUUACUGCCGACUCUUUUUUACUGUGGUCGGCGGUUUUUUUGAUUGGAUCUGCUUCUAGAUUGCUCCCCUGUGCCAUGCCUGCUGCAUCUGUCUUGUAGCACUGUCCUGCUCACGUCUUGUGUUCAGAACGUGUGUAGAUGAAAGGACAUGUUCACUUCUUUAGAGUGGAAGGCAGCAUGCAGGAUCCAAGGAACCAACCAUUCCAAAAUACUUUUAUCUUGAACAGCUGCAAGAAGAAUUUAACUGUUACUGAAGAAGGUAUUAGCAGUAUAAAUGCUUCCAGCUGUUGCAGUUUACAACUUUAAGUAGUUUAACUUCUCUUAUUUUGAAGUAGCUCUGUUUAUAGAGGGAUACCACAUUAAAUAUUUCAGGAAUUUA